AAGUUUAAUUUUGAUUUUAAAAUUUUUUGAAUUUUUUAAUUUACAUGUAAAUUUUAGUGUUUUAUUAUAAUUUUUUUAAUAGAAAUUAAUAUUUAAUUUAUUCACAGUAUAAAAUUUUAUAUAUAAAGUAGUUUUUGAUAUAGGAAUAAAGUUUAAAAUUAACAAAAUUUGUGCCAGCAGUUGCGGUUACACAAAUAAUUUAAAAAAAUUUUUUAGGAUUAUAGUUAAAUUAAAAUUUUAUAAUAAUUAUAAAUAAAAAUUUUUAGGUGAAAUUUGAAUUUUUAAAAAAAUUAUUUAUAUAAUUUUUGAAACUAAUAAAUUUAAAUUUAAAACUAGGAUUAGAUACCCUAUUAUUUUAAACUUAAAAAUUAAUUCCAAAUUAGUAAAAGUUAUGUUCUCUAAAAUUAAAAAAUUUGGCGGUAUUUUAAUCUUUUCAGAGGAACCUGUUCUAUAAUUGAUAAUCCACGAUUAAUUAUACUUAUUUUAGAAAUUUAUAUAUCAUCGUAAAUUGAAUGUUUUAAAAGAAUUUUUAAUAUUCAAAAUUUAUAAUAAUAAAAAAAAUCAGAUCAAGGUGUAGUUUAUAAAUAAGAAGAAAUGGGUUACAAUAAAUUUUAUUUAUGGAUAAAUUUAUGAAAUUGAAUUUAGAAAUUGGAUUUGAAAGUAAUUUUAUAUAUUUAUAUAAAAUGACUAAAGUUCUAAAAUAUGUACAUAUUGCCCGUCGCUUUUGUUUUAAGAUGAAAUAAGUCGUAACAAAGUAGAUUUACUGGAAAGUGAAUCUAGAUUA
rnacentral:ncRNA from 1 species